AAGUAUCCAAACACAUGGGCUAGUUUGGGUUAGAUGCAAACUAACCCAUCAAAAAAACUAGCCCUGAGAAGAGGUGCUAAUUGGAGCUAGUUGAGGAUGGACAGGUAAAAUAAUAAUAUUUUAACCGCAUCAGAUCCUCUCCAUCCUCCUCUAUACCCCUGCACCAGGCCUACACAAGAGCUUGCCACAACAAAUCCUGGUUAAAAGAGACACAUGAUUGAAAAAGGUGCAUUUAUUGUCAAACUAACCUUUGCAUCCAAAUACCGUCAAAGGCUAGAGUUAGUUCAUGGUUAGACUAAAGUUAAAAACUAACUCUAACCUCUAGCCAAGUUAAAGUAUCCAAAC
rnacentral:lncRNA from 1 species